UACGAAGGGGGCUAGCGUUGCUCGGAAUCACUGGGCGUAAAGCGCACGUAGGCGGAUCUUUAAGUCAGGGGUGAAAUCCCAAGGCUCAACCUUGGGAACUGCCUUUGAUACUGGGGAUCUCGAGUCCGGAAGAGGUUGGUGGAACUGCGAGUGUAGAGGUGAAAUUCGUAGAUAUUCGCAAGAACACCAGUGGCGAAGGCGGCUCACUGGCCCGAUACUGACGCUGAGGUGCGAAAGCGUGGGGAGCAACAGG
rnacentral:rRNA from 1 species